AGAGUUUGAUCAUGGCUCAGGAUGAACGCUGGCGGUAUGCCUAACACAUGCAAGUCGAACGGGUAUCUUCGGAUAUUAGUGGCGGACGGGUGAGUAACGCGUGAGAAUCUGCCUUCAGGAUGGGGACAACAGUUGGAAACGACUGCUAAUACCCGAUAUGACGAAAGUUGAAAGAUUUAUCGCCUGGAGAUGAGCUCGCGUCAGAUUAGCUAGAUGGUGUGGUAAAGGCGCACCAUGGCGACGAUCUGUAGCUGGUCUGAGAGGAUGAGCAGCCACACUGGGACUGAGACACGGCCCAGACUCCUACGGGAGGCAGCAGUGGGGAAUUUUCCGCAAUGGGCGCAAGCCUGACGGAGCAAUACCGCGUGAGGGAGGAAGGCUCUUGGGUCGUAAACCUCUUUUCUCAGGGAAGAACAAAAUGACGGUACCUGAGAAUCAGCUCGAU
rnacentral:rRNA from 1 species